rnacentral:rRNA from 1 species
UACGAAGGGGGCUAGCGUUGCUCGGAAUCACUGGGCGUAAAGGGUGCGUAGGCGGGUCUUUAAGUCAGGGGUGAAAUCCUGGAGCUCAACUCCAGAACUGCCUUUGAUACUGAAGAUCUUGAGUUCGGGAGAGGUGAGUGGAACUGCGAGUGUAGAGGUGAAAUUCGUAGAUAUUCGCAAGAACACCAGUGGCGAAGGCGGCUCACUGGCCCGAUACUGACGCUGAGGCGCGAUAGCGUGGGGAGCAAACGGG